UGCGUAUAAGUGGUUCUCUAAUUUGUAAUAUGUGAUUUCCUUUUUGGAGAAGUGAAUCAUGUGUCAAUGAAUAUUUUUUCACCUUGAUUCGGAUAUUUAUAUUUGAAUUUUAUAAAUUGGUGUUGUUCUUGUUACCAAACGAGUAUACAAAUUUGGGAGAUGUAUUGUUUGUUGAUAUUUUAUUGGCAACGAUAUAAUAGAUCUUUUGAUCUUAUCGUUUAUCGGUCGGAUGAGUUUUUAAGUAUCAUAAAUUUUUUUGGGUACGGAAUUUCGUGAAGGUGAUGCAUUGAACCUCCUAUUGGCAAGCCCCUAUAAGAAUGUGCCUUAUGAAUCACACUUCAUUUUGGUUGGAUUCUAUUAUCAAUUACGUAUUGGUAAUAAUUAACUGAUGUUGUUGUUGAUGA
rnacentral:misc_RNA from 1 species